GUGCUCAUUUCUGCAGUACAUAUACUAAAAUUUUGAAGGUUACAGAGAUUAGCAUGGCCACUGGGCAAGGAUGACACACAAAUUCAUGAAGCGUUCCAUAUUGGG
ensembl:snRNA U6 U6 spliceosomal RNA